rnacentral:rRNA from 1 species
AAUACGUGCCAAAAGUCGUAUUCAGCAAUGAGUAUGAUGCACUUAUCGGAGCAAAACCUUUCCUGGUUUAAUGCUAACUCUGGAUAACACUGCUUAUCGCAUGACCUUGUGUCGGCGAAGUUGCAUUCAAGUAUCUGCCUUAUCAACUUUCGAUGGUAGUGUAUUGGACUGCCAUGGUGUUGACGGGUAACGGAGAAUCAGGGUUCGACUCCGGAGAGGGAGCCUUAGAAACGGCUACCAGUUCUAAGGAACGCAGCAGGCGCGAAACUUAUCCACUGUUCAUUGAACGAGAUAGUGACGAGAAAUAACAAGUCCGUUCUCUAUGAGGUCGGACAUUGGAAUGGACGGAAUCUAAACAAUUUCGUGAGUACCCACGAGAGGGCAAGUCUGGUGCCAGCAGCCGCGGUAAUUCCAGCUCUCGUAAUGUAUAGAAUUAUUGUUGCGGUUAAAAAGUUCGUAGUUGGAUUUUCGACUGUUCGAGGGUCGGCCCUAACGGGACGUACUUUCGGCAGUGUUUGCAUUUGGCUUUGGAGCGAUCCAGAGUGAAGUGCGGAUUACUUUGAACGGCUUAAGUGCUCAAGGCGAGUCUUCGGACUGAAUACCGGUGCAUGGAAUAAUGGAACAAGGUUUCGGCCGAGUUUUAUUGGUUUUGUCGGCUGAGACAAUGGUUAACAGGAACAGCUGGGGGCACUCGUAUCGCUGCGCGAGAGGUGAAAUUCGUGGACCGCAGCGAGACGCCCUAAAGCGAAGGCAUUUGCCAAGAGUGUUUUCAUUAAUCAAGAACGAAAGUCAGAGGUUCGAAGGCGAUUAGAUACCGCCC